GGCCUGGUGGUCUAGUCGUAUGAUUGUCGCUUCGGGUUCUUUCCCGGUUAAGUUCACUUAACUAUGAAUGUGACAGGUCCCGGGUUCAAUUCCCGGCCAGGCCC